CUGGAAUGUUAGAACUAUGAACCAAGGCAAAUUGGAUGUGAUCAAACAUGAGAUGACAAGGUUAAACAUCGAAAUACUGGGAAUUAGUGAACUCAAAUGGACUGGAAUGGGACAUUUCACAUCAGACAACCAUCAUAUCUUCUACUGUUGUUCAAGAAUCCCGCAGAAGAAAUGGAGUAGGCAUCAUAGUUAAUCAUCAGGUGGGCAAAGCAGUGCUUGGCUACAACCC